rnacentral:lncRNA from 1 species
AGAUCUACAGGGCCCGGUGUUCUUGCUUCCACCCACCCGGCAAAACUCACCUCAUCUUACAUGAGAGGAUGCCUGGCGACAACAGAAGCCAGCUCCUGCUGCCACAGGUAGACCAAGGGCCCACCUGGCAAGAGCCACCCAGGGCCAGGGGCCCCAGGCCACAUCCGCAAAAUGCUGAGAGAAUGCUGGGUUCACAUCACACUCAAUCUUGGCAAGCAGUUAUCUCUCCUGCAAAUCCUGCCAGAGCAUUUAUGUUCUGUGCCUUCCAGUGACCAGCUCAGUGCUCUGCAGCCACAGCUGAAGUGGCUGAGAUGCACUGGCGAUGAGCUGCGUGCCUCAGGUGAAAGCUGAGUGGCCUCUGGUGUCUGACACGCCUCGCUGAAGCCAUCCGCAGUCAAGGGACGGUUUCAGCUGGAGCCAGUGUCUGUGUUGGUGCCCACAGAUACCUUAAAGGCAGGCACCACCCCAGUGCGACCUCCUGGGUGGUCGCCCCUCGCAUCCAGCUCAAAUCCAGCUCCGGUGCCCUGGCAUGCUGCAAGGUCCUGCCAGCUCGGAGGCUGGCACCUGGGCAAUGCCCAGCAGUGGGAGCCGAGAGAUAAGCCUGUGAGUGGACUGCUUUGCGCCAGGCCAGCAACUGGGAGGAAGGCAGAAAUCCUCCUUGGUGGGUUACUUGAGGACAGAAGUGACACCGCUAGUGGUGGGUGCAGGCUAGGAGCCACUCUCUGUGCUCUGCUGGCAGUUUUCCUGGCAACCAAGAGGGGCAGGGAGACUGCAACACUCCCGCAGCUUAGUGAGGGCUCAGGAACUCGAGACCACUGAGCCCUAGUGCCAGCUGGGCUGCUAAGCCUGAACCUGCCAGAGAAAGGGAAACCUUUGCCUUUGGGGUUCAUGGAAGGGGCCCCAGUGGAAGGCCCUUGACAGCUGAGAGGCCUUUAUGUGACGCCCUC